rnacentral:rRNA from 1 species
UACGUAGGGUCCGAGCGUUGUCCGGAAUUACUGGGCGUAAAGAGCUCGUAGGCGGUUUGUCGCGUCUGCUGUGAAAACUGGAGGCUCAACCUCCAGCCUGCAGUGGGUACGGGCAGACUAGAGUGCGGUAGGGGAGACUGGAAUUCCUGGUGUAGCGGUGAAAUGCGCAGAUAUCAGGAGGAACACCGAUGGCGAAGGCAGGUCUCUGGGCCACUACUGACGCUGAGAAGCGAAAGCAUGGGGAGCGAACAGG